CACGUAGGGCGCAAGCGUUUGUCCGGAAUUAUUGGGCGUAAAGAGCUCGUAGGCGGUCUGUUGCGUCCGCUGUGAAAACUCGGGGCUUAACCCCGAGCCUGCAGUGGAUACGGGCAGACUAGAGGUAGGUAGGGGAGAAUGGAAUUCCCGGUGUAGCGGUGAAUGCGCAGAUAUCGGGAGGAACACCGGUGGCGAAGGCGGUUCUCUGGGACGGUACUGACGCUGAGACGCGAAAGCGUGGGGAGCGAACAGG
rnacentral:rRNA from 1 species